UACGUAGGGGGGCUAGCGUUGUCCGGAAUCAUUGGGCGUAAAGAGCGUGUAGGCGGCCCGGUAAGUCCGCUGUGAAAGUCGGGGGCUCAACCCUCGAAUGCCGGUGGAUACUGUCGGGCUAGAGUGCGGAAGAGGCGAGUGGAAUUCCUGGUGUAGCGGUGAAAUGCGCAGAUAUCAGGAGGAACACCAAUUGCGAAGGCAGCUCGCUGGGACGUAACUGACGCUGAGACGCGAAAGCGUGGGGGAGCAAACAGG
rnacentral:rRNA from 1 species